rnacentral:rRNA from 1 species
GACGUAGGAGGCGAGCGUUGUCCGGAUUCAUUGGGCGUAAAGAGCACGCAGGCGGUUUGGCAAGUCGGAUGUGAAAGCCCGGAGCUCAACUCCGGACCUGCAUCCGAAACUGCCCGACUAGAGGUAGGUAGGGGAGAUCGGAAUUCCUGGUGUAGCGGUGAAAUGCGCAGAUAUCAGGAGGAACACCGGUGGCGAAGGCGGAUCUCUGGGCCAUUACUGACGCUGAGGAGCGAAAGCGUGGGGAGCGAACAGG